GGGACAGUGGGAAGAGGGAAGGUGGUGGGGGGGGGGGAGCAGGCAGCUCAACGUUCCGCAUAAUGGGAAUGAGAGGUCCAAACCACAUGAUAAAGCACUCAAAGCACUGGUCUCUCCAGCCUGCUUCACGCUCUCCUGAGCAUCUCGACAAGUAUGAGUCAAGGGAAAGGGGGAAGGACAAGGAGAGGAGGGGGAGAACAACAGAGGGAAAGACUCACUGUGGAGGCUUGAUUACUCAUGUUGUGUUUUGAGUGCCCGUUGGAUACGUGGCUCCAUCUCUCUCUCUCUCUCUCUCUCUCUCUCUCUCUCUCUCUCUCUCUCUCUCUCUCUCUCUCUCUCUUUCUCUCUCUCUAUAUAUCGUGCCGUGCUUCACUGUUUUCCCAGGUUGGUCAUCCUAUGCUUGUCUGUUCUCGGUUGGAGGAUUACGAAAGAGUCUUGAAUUCCAGGGUGCCUUGCAUGGUUCCGUUGUGAAUGUCAGACUCCACUCUGCGAGGCACAUCGAGCUGCAGAUUGAACAUGGUGAGAUUGUAGACUCCUAAAUUGACUCCAGUUUGUUUAGGCGAUUUUAAAGCUAACUAGCUACUCACGUGUUGAUAUUGAUUUUGUUAUUAUUGUGUGCAGCUGUGUUUGCAGGCCAGCACAUAGAGAGAGUAUUGUAUUGUGGGUUUUGUAGUCAACUUGAGCUGCAACAAAUUUCCACAAUUUUUACAUUACCACCAACUGUAUUAUAAAGACAAAAUGUGUUAGUGUUAUUUAACACUAUAAAUUAUAGAAAUGAGUGGUUUUGGGUGGAUUUUUCCUUUAGGGCUGAAGCACUUUGAAACCCACAGGAUACUGUAUUCAUCAAGGCCUAAUUGUAAAUUCCACAUAGAACUACAAAUGAAUCAUAAAUGUCCCCGUGACCCUUUUCCACUUGGUUGUCACGUAGGAUGCUUUUAUAGGGGUAUUUCUAUUCAGUGCAACUCAAGGACAUUUGAAGUGAGUUUCAGUCAGGACGACUGAUGAAUAAUCCACAUAGUGUACAUACAUUUAAGCAAUAAGGCCCGAGAGGGUGUGGUAUAUGGCCAAUAAACCACAGCUAAUAGCUGUUCUUAUGUGCGAUGCAACGUGGAGUGCCUGGAUACAGCCCUUAGCCGUCGUAUACUGGCCAUAUACCUGAAACCCCUGAGGUGCCUUAUUACUAUUAUAAACGGGUUAUCAAUGUAAUUACAGCAGUAAAAAUAAAUGUUUUGUCAUACCUGUGGUAUAUGGUCUGAUAUACCACGGCUGUCAGCCAAUCAGCAUUCAGGGCUCGAACCACCCAGUUUCUAAACAUCAAUAAUACACAUGCUUGGUACAGUAUGUUUACAGAGUGCACAUCAAAUAAACAGAGUCCGAAUUGGUGGCUACAACCUAAGUUUUAAUAUUCAUUGUUGGUUGUUUUUAUGUGUGGCUUCUUUCUACUUUUCACACGGUUCUGCCCUGGGUCCAUUGUUAUAGCAUGGCAGAUUGUGUCCUAACAUAAAUAUUGGAUGACAAGAUAAGUGUAUUGGUGCAGGGGCCUGGUUCCUCCUUCCACCCCCUCAUCUAAACAUAUAACACCAUCAGCAAGUCCCAAGGGAGUGAUAAGAUACAUUCUGAAAUAUUUCUUAACACUUCGAGGUCAGGAAGGUAAUAUGCUCUUGGGAAACCGAUGAAAGGUAGGAUAGCUGUCCGGAACUCUGUUUACUUGUGAAAAGAUGUACUUUCUUAGUCAGACUUCUCAGUUGACCUCGAGCUAAUGUUUGUCCUCUGAGAGAAACUGUGAAAUGGGACUGCUUGAGCUCAGACAUAUACUGUAGAAGUAGGAUCUUCAUUUGAUUACUGUUUUGUUGCUGAGAGUUUUCCUGCAAUUUUCCUACACUUGUAGUGUAUUCAAGGUAAAAAAAAGGCCUCUAAAGUUCCCAAUUUCCACUUUAAAAUGUCAAACUUGAUUUGCCCUAAUGACAAAUGUAUCAACCCCUACAAAAACGUCCAUAAAUUAUAAUCUACAUGAUAAUUCACAUUUCCUGUUGCUGUAGGAGUAAUUUCCUACUGUAGCAAAUUGACUCAAAUUAAAAUUCUACAUUUGUAUUUAUAGAUUUGAAUAACUUCAGUUUGCCCCUCGCUUUCAGAAAAUCCCUGAUUCUAGUUGACACGCAGAGUUGAGGCAGUCGUGACAAAGUCAGGGAGUGACAGUUCUGGACCUGAGGCCUGGAACAGAGCUGUGGUUGGUCACACUGCUGAGACUGUUGACAUAGAAACACAGAGAAAGUGAUGCUGUUAUACCAAGUCUUUGUCUUUGAAUACUUGUCAAAUAAACUCCAUCAGAAAGUCAUGGCCACCCCCCAAACAGUAAAAACACAAUGGAUA
rnacentral:lncRNA from 13 species